rnacentral:rRNA from 1 species
AAAAGAAACUAACUAGGAUUCCCUUAGUAACGGCGAGUGAACCGGGAUGAGCUCAAAUUUAAAAUCUGGCGUCUUUCAGGCGUCCGAGUUGUAAUCUAUAGAGGCGUUUUCCGCGCCGGACCGCGUCCAAGUCUCUUGGAAUAGAGUAUCAAAGAGGGUGACAAUCCCGUACUUGACGCGACAACCGGUGCUCUGUGAUACGUUCUCAAUGAGUCGAGUUGUUUGGGAAUGCAGCUCUAAAUGGGUGGUAAAUUCCAUCUAAGGCUAAAUAUUGGCGAGAGACCGAUAGCGAACAAGUACCGUGAGGGAAAGAUGAAAAGCACUUUGGAAAGAGAGUUAAACAGCACGUGAAAUUGUUAAAAGGGAAACGAUUGAAGUCAGUCGUGUGAAAGGUAUUCAGCCGUCUCUGGCGGUGUAUUUGCCUUUCACGGGUCAACAUCAGUUUGAUCCGGUAGAAAAAGGCGGGAGGAAGGUGGCACCCUCGGGUGUGUUAUAGCCUCCUGUCAUAUGUGCCGGACCAGACUGAGGAACGCAGCUUGCCGCAAGGCCGGGGUUCGCCCACGUACAAGCU